UGGCUCAGUGGCAGAGCACCUGCUUUGUAAGCACAAGGUCCUGAGUUCGAUCCCCAG
rnacentral:tRNA from 1 species